ensembl:snRNA U2 U2 spliceosomal RNA
AUCGCUUCUCGGCCUUUUGGCUAAGAUCAAGUGUAAAAAUUAUCUCUAAGAGGUUGUAGCUUGUCUUAGGAUGCUUCGCUAGUAAGUGGUGGAAUUUUAAAUAUUCUGAGACCAAGUUAAGUGGGGUUUCCACUGUACCCUUGUAUAGCUUUAUAAAA